UGGGGAAUCUUAGACAAUGGGGGAAACCCUGAUCUAGCCAUGCCGCGUGAGUGACGAAGGCCCUAGGGUCGUAAAGCUCUUUCGCCAGGGAUGAUAAUGACAGUACCUGGUAAAGAAACCCCGGCUAACUCCGUGCCAGCAGCCGCGGUAAUACGGAGGGGGUUAGCGUUGUUCGGAAUUACUGGGCGUAAAGCGCGCGUAGGCGGAUUGGAAAGUUGGGGGUGAAAUCCCGGGGCUCAACCCCGGAACUGCCUCCAAAACUCCCAGUCUAGAGUGCGAGAGAGGUGAGUGGAACUCCGAGUGUAGAGGUGAAAUUCGUAGAUAUUCGGAAGAACACCAGUGGCGAAGGCGGCUCACUGGCUCGAUACUGACGCUGAGGUGCGAAAGUGUGGGGAGCAAACA
rnacentral:rRNA from 1 species